UACGAAGGGGCUAGCGUUGCUCGGAAUUACUGGGCGUAAAGCGCACGUAGGCGGAUUGUUAAGUCGGGGGUGAAAUCCUGGAGCUCAACUCCAGAACUGCCUUCGAUACUGGCGAUCUCGAGUUCGGGAGAGGUGAGUGGAACUGCGAGUGUAGAGGUGAAAAUUCGUAGAUAUUCGCAAGAACACCAGUGGCGAAGGCGGCUCACUGGCCCGAUACUGACGCUGAGGUGCGAAAAGCGUGGGGAGCAAGCAGG
rnacentral:rRNA from 1 species